rnacentral:rRNA from 1 species
UCAAGCUACUAAGGGCGCAUGGGGGAUGUCUUGGUAUCAAGAGGCUUUGAAAGGCGUGGAAGACUGCGAAAAGCCCGGGUGAGUUGUCAAACGAGCGUUGACCCCGGGAUUCCUGAACUGACACAUACUCAAUACAUAGGUAUGUGUUGCUGACGCGGUGAACUGAAACAUCUAAGUAACCGCUGGAAAAGAAAGAAAAAUCGAUUCCGUUAGUAGCGGCGAGCGAAAGCGGAACAGCCCAAACCGCGGGGGUUUCCUCUGCGGGGUUGUAGGGCCUUUCACAUGGGAGUUACAAAGCAAUCGGCUAGCAGAACGUUCUGGAAAGUUCGACCACAGAGGGUGACAGUCCCGUACACGAAAGCUGUAUUGCCUCCCGAGAGGUACCUGAGUAGGUCCGGUCACGUGGAACCCGGACUGAAUCUGCGGGGACCAUCCCGUAAGGCUAAAUACUCUUUGAUGACCGAUAGUGAACUCAGUAGGGUGACUGAAAGAUGGGAAGAACCCCUUCUAGGGGAGGACACUGAACCUGAAACCAUGUGCCUACAAGCGGUCGGAGCACUAUGGCAAGUUUACUUGCAAUGUGUGACGGCGUGCCUUUUGCAUAAUGAUCCGGCGAGUUACCGUUUGCGGCUUGGUUAAGGCCUUCCGGGCUGAAGCCCUAGGGAAACCGAGUGUGAAUAGCGCGAAUUUGGUCGUAGGUGGUAGACGCGAAACCUGGUGAUCUACCCAUGGACAGGUUGAAGCGCGAGUUAUAUCGCGUGGAGGACCGAACCCACUUAGGUUGAAAACUGAGGGGAUGAUCUGUGGGGAGGAGUGAAAGUCUAAUCAAACCAGGAGAUAGCUCGUUCUCUCCGAAAUAGCUUUAGGGCUAGCCUCGAGUCACUACGCAUCGGGGGUAGAGAUACUGAAUCGGUUUGGGGCCCUUCCCGGGGUACCCUGCUGAACCAAACUCCGAAUACCGAUGCGAUUAUCUCAGGAGUCAGUCCGCGGGGGAUAAGCUCCGCGGUCGAGAGGGAAACAACCCUGACCAUCUGCUAAGGUCCCGAAGUCGUUCUUAGUCACUAAGGAAGUUGAAUUGCUGAGACAGCCAGGAUGUUGGCUUAGAAGCAGCCAUCAUUUAAAAAGUGCGUAACAGCUUACUGGUCGAGCAGUUCUGCGCCGAUAAUGAACGGGAGUAAGUACGACACCGAAGCAGUGGAUUGUGCAAGCCUUCGGGCGAACACAGUGGUAGGAGAGCGCCGUAGGUCAGAUACGAGCCGUACCGAAAGGAGCGGUGUUGGGGCCUACGGGUGAUUAUGCCGGAAUGAGUAACGAUAAAGCAGGUGAGAAUCCUGCUCGCCGAAAGCCUAAGGUUUCCUGGGCAAGGUAAAUCCGCCCAGGGUUAGCCGGUUCCUAAGUCGAGGCCGAAAGGUGUAGACGAUGGACAGCAGGUCAACAUUCCUGCGCCACAAAGUGGACUGAUGGAGUGACGGCGUUUGCAUGGUGAGGGGCCGAUUAGAAAUGGCCCUCGCCUCAUCGUGAGGAGGUAGAUAGGAAAAUCCGCUACGGAAUCCAAGCGAUGGGGACAACGGCAUUUAUGUUCCGAUAGUCAUCUGAAGGACGUCCAAGAAAAACUUCUAGGGUUGAAGCUUUGUGACCGUACUAAAACUGACACAGGUAGGCGGGUCGAGUAGACCAAGGCGCUCGGGAGAACACUGGUUAAGGAACUCUGCAAAAUGGCCCCGUAAGUUCGCGAUAAGGGGUGCCCUCUGGGGUGUACGCUCUGGGGGGCCACAGUAAAUCGGCUUCUGCGACUGUUUAUCAAAAACACAGGACUCUGCUAACUCGUAAGAGGAUGUAUAGAGUCUGACGCCUGCCCGGUGCUGGUAGGUUAAGGAAGACAGUUAGUCCUUCGGGACGAAGCUGGCGACCGAAGCCCCAGUAAACGGCGGCCGUAACUAUGACGGUCCUAAGGUAGCGAAGUUCCUUGUCGGGUAAGUUCCGACCUGCAUGAAAGGCGUAACGACAGAAGCACUGUCUCA